rnacentral:rRNA from 1 species
AGUGGCGAACGGGUGAGUAAUGCAUCGGAACGUACCGUGUAGUGGGGGAUAACGUAGCGAAAGUUACGCUAAUACCGCAUACGCCCUGAGGGGGAAAGUGGGGGACCGCAAGGCCUCACGCUAUAUGAGCGGCCGAUGUCGGAUUAGCUAGUUGGUAGGGUAAAGGCCUACCAAGGCGACGAUCCGUAGCGGGUCUGAGAGGAUGAUCCGCCACACUGGGACUGAGACACGGCCCAGACUCCUACGGGAGGCAGCAGUGGGGAAUUUUGGACAAUGGGCGCAAGCCUGAUCCAGCCAUGCCGCGUGAGUGAAGAAGGCCUUCGGGUUGUAAAACUCUUUCAGACGGAAAGAAAUCUCUCGGGAUAACACCCUGGGAGGAUGACGGUACCGUAAGAAGAAGCACCGGCUAACUACGUGCCAGCAGCCGCGGUAAUACGUAGGGUGCGAGCGUUAAUCGGAAUUACUGGGCGUAAAGCGUGCGCAGGCGGUGAUGUAAGACAGAUGUGAAAUCCCCGGGCUCAACCUGGGAACUGCGUUUGUGACUGCAUCACUCGAGUACGGCAGAGGGAGGUGGAAUUCCGCGUGUAGCAGUGAAAUGCGUAGAUAUGCGGAGGAACACCGAUGGCGAAGGCAGCCUCCUGGGCCAGUACUGACGCUCAUGCACGAAAGCGUGGG